GCUGACAUCACUAACUAGCCAGUUCCCUCCAGCAGCACCAGAGAGCUUCAUUUUCGGAUCUGCUUUUGUGUUAAAAUGGAGGCUGGCUCCUUGCCUUAAGUGGAUUGCCUUCCUGGUCGAGUUUAGAUGUUGACAUGCACUAAAGCUGGAAUCAGGAUGGUUGUGGAUGCACCUAAUUCCAAUGGGCCUUUCCAGCCAGUGGCUCUUAUGCACUUCAGAGACUGUGCUCCAGCGGAGCAGGAGAAGCUGUUUGUGCAGAAGCUGCGCCAGUGUUGCAUGCUCUUUGACUUCCUGUCGGACCCACUAAGUGACCUGAAAUGGAAGGAGGUGAAGCGUGCGGCGCUGAGCGAGAUGGUCGAGUACAUCACCCACAACAGGAACGUCAUCACAGAGCCCAUCUACCCAGAGGUGGUGCACAUGUUUAUGGUGAACAUGUUCCGAACGUUGCCUCCGUCAUCCAACCCCACAGGAGCAGAGUUUGACCCGGAGGAGGACGAGCCUACACUUGAGGCUGCUUGGCCACAUCUCCAGCUCGUCUACGAAUUUUUCCUUCGGUUUUUAGAAUCUCCUGACUUUCAACCGAACAUAGCAAAGAAGUACAUCGACCAAAAAUUUGUGAUGCAGCUUUUAGACCUGUUUGACAGUGAGGACCCACGGGAGAGGGACUUCCUCAAAACCACUCUCCACAGGAUCUAUGGGAAAUUCCUGGGACUACGGGCCUACAUCAGAAAACACAUCAAUAAUAUAUUUUAUAGGUUUAUCUAUGAGACUGAGCACCAUAAUGGAAUAGCAGAAUUACUGGAGAUACUCGGAAGUAUAAUCAAUGGGUUUGCCUUACCACUAAAAGAGGAGCACAAGAUUUUCCUGUUAAAGGUCCUUUUGCCUUUGCACAAAGUCAAAUCACUUAGUGUCUACCAUCCACAGCUGGCAUACUGUGUUGUGCAAUUUCUAGAGAAGGACAGCACUCUCACUGAACCAGUGGUAAUGGCCCUUCUCAAAUACUGGCCAAAGACUCACAGCCCCAAAGAGGUGAUGUUCCUCAAUGAGCUGGAGGAGAUUCUGGAUGUCAUUGAGCCGUCUGAGUUCGUCAAGGUCAUGGAGCCACUCUUCAGGCAGCUGGCAAAGUGUGUGUCCAGCCCGCACUUCCAGGUAGCAGAGAGAGCUCUGUACUACUGGAACAAUGAGUACAUCAUGAGUCUAAUCAGCGACAAUGCAGCCAAAAUCCUGCCCAUCAUGUUCCCGGCACUCUACCGUAACUCCAAGACCCACUGGAACAAGACCAUCCAUGGCCUCAUCUACAACGCUCUCAAGCUCUUCAUGGAGAUGAACCAGAAGCUGUUUGAUGACUGCACACAGCAGUUCAGAGCAGAGAAAAAUAAUGGUCCUCGACGGUAAAAACAACACAAUGAUUAAAAGGUAAGACACAAUUACAAACAACCAUAAAUACAUUAAUUUAUAUUGACAUCCUUAAAGUGGCACUUUUCCCUAACCUUAAAAAUCAACCAUAUUAAUUGCACAUCAUACCGAUCCUUCAAAUAAAUACACCUGACCAGCAGUAGGGGGCACAAGGGGCAGUGGAGUAGUUUCUCUUACUUAGACAACCUUUUCCAAAUGUAAAACUUUUUAAAGUCAUUUGUACUUUUUCUUUGCUUGAUCUCUAGGGGUAGGCUACUCCAUAGACAAAUGCCUGCAUAGAAAAACGUGCUCCUCGCAGUACUGAUUACUCUUGGGAUUUUACAAGACAUAACACUAGAUGAUAAUGUUGACAUUUUGUCUUUUUUGUCCUAUAGAGAAAAGGCCAAGUCAAAAGAGAGGGAAGAGGCCUGGCUCAAGAUUGAGAACCUUGCCAAAUCCAAUCCACAUUGUGCUAAUGUGGAUAUUGGAUCAGAGUCCUAGUGAAAGUUCACAGGUUAAAAAAGACAGUAACGGAAGAAUCCACUCAGUUACAACAAAGAGGCCAGAGAAAAGACCAUCCUCUGGUGCAGCGCGAGUCGGAUCUCCCUCAGGACAUCUACACCGCAAAAGCCUUGGAGACCCAUCGCCGCGCCGAUGACAUGAUCACCACCCACAAUGGGCUCUAGGUCUCCCCCUCCUCUCUCUUCUCUUCUGUCCAGUCCCCUAAAGGAGUACCCUCGCCCCUCCACACCCCACCUCCCAACCCACACAGCACAUUCAGAAUACUGGCCCGGUUUCCCUAUCUCGCCAGUACACUGCCCCACCUCCCUCGGAUUUCUGCUUUCUCUGGUGUAUAUUUUGGGGGGAGGGGUGGGGCCGCAACUCUUUUAGCUGUCGGUCCUGCGGAGUCAUUGUUUUCCUUAUUGUUUCCGCUGAAUUGUGCAUAAAACAGUAUAUCGGCUCAUCCCUCCCUGCUCUUAUUGUAUGAAUGAAAAUGGGGACGUUUCGUUCCACCUGCGACAUGAAAUGUGAAAUGCACAACAAACGUAGAGAGCAGAAACUAAAUGAGGGAGACUUCUUUUCUUCUUCUGUCUUCUGUUUUCUGUCAAGGGGAAACAACCAAAAACAGAUGGUUAGAUGGAGGGGUAGGACUGUUGGAUUGACUUUCCAGACUUUAUUUUUAUCCCAGGGACAUCUGCCAGUGCCAAAACCAUUUGUGUACUUUUUUUUGUUUCUGCGUCUAUUUUUCUCUCUGUGAUUUUUAACAAGGGCGACUAGCUAGGUAGAGCCUGCGUUGUUUGCCUUCAUUUUUUUGGCCUCAGAUGUUUUGACAAUUGUUUUUAAUAAGCUGAAGAGCAACAGGGCUGUCUAAAGUGACAUCCAUCUGUUCUGAUGAAGUCACAUUGUGACAGGGAUUGAGAGAGGGAGGAAGGGAUGUUCUCUGUGCACACUAGACUCUUUACACUCUACAGUUUGUGCCAUAUAAAAGUUGUAUUUUGUCUUAUUUCCUUUCUCAUACCCAUCUGAAUUCCAUCUGCAAUAUGUGAGCUGGAAAUUUCACAGUGAAAUUAUUGACAGAAAUAUUGACAGUUCAAACAAUGGUACAAACAAUGGUUUAUUUCAUAUAGAGAAACACAUUGGGUGGUUGUUAGUUUCCACCCUGUUUGUCAUACUCAAAAGCCCCUCUUAGACAUUUCAACAUCUGUAGCCAGUUUUUACUGGAAUCACAUUAUGACACCUUACCUGGGGGUAUCACAUAAUGAGUAGUUAUUUGGGAUGCAAGAUGAUUUGUAGAUCAGUGUUUCUGCACAGCCUGACUGCAAUCUAGUCCAUCUUAAAUGCAUACCCCACUGGGCACACACUGGUUGAAUCAAUGUUUCCAUGUAAUUUCAAUGAAAUGAAGUUGAACCAAUGUGGAAUAGACAUUGAGUUGAUGAUCCAGGCUUCAGCAGUCCUGGAGCUACUUGCUAGUCAAGCAUUGACCUCCAUUCGUUUCAGAGGUACCCAUGAUAUCACAUGUCGUGUUCAUCUCGUACCCCCCCAACAUGCUCACUAUUCCCCUGUUGUUUUUUACAUUUUUACCACCACCCUCUUAUCCAGAUGUGCUUCUCUGUGGAGCUGAAUGGACUGUUACUAAGCAAAGAACAAAACAAAUUAUUCACUUCCAUAAGACAUCCUUUUCGAGGACAUCGGAGUGCCUUUUAUCAUGAGGAGGAAUAUGAAAUAAUUUUUGGCCCCAAUGAGGAGAAUAGCAACACUGUUUGGAUGGGAAAACCAUUUCAUGUGACGGUUAAAUGGGCAUAUGUGUCCAUUGCCAAUAAUAUAUACUGAUUCACAGGCACAUUCACAGAGAUAGUAGAGACCGAGCAGUGAUUCCAGACCUGAAUAACUCUUGGAAGUAGAUGAAUCGUGUAGUUGUUAAGAAAAAGUAUAUUGAACUACCUAAAAAGCACUUCCUGAAAACUUGAAAGAUGUGACAUGUUUGUGUAUAUUCAAAUGAAGCUCUGUAUCCCGUUGAGUAUAUAUGUACAGUCUAUUCUGCUUUGUCAAGUCAGGAAGCUGUCAAUUCCAGGAGUGUUUUGGACAUUAACAUUUACAAGUGGGUCGUCUCUUGAACCAUUGUUUGAACUUCCAAAUCUAGCAUGGGUAUACAAUCUGUAAUGUGUUUUGUGUUGUCCCUGGUAACUUAUAGCCUGGAUGCUAGUUUUAGCAUUGUAGCUGCCAAUGGAAAUGGCCAAUGCUAAAACAGACAGAUCGAGGCUUGGCAACUGUAUUAUUCAUAUUUGCUUGAAUGGAAAAGGUGUACAUUUAUACAACCAAUGUUAAACAUGUAUUUUUUUCCCCUGGAAGAAUGGCACUCACCAAAACAAUUUAUAUCCUAAAAGAAUAUAUUUGCUUUUUAUUUAACGGUAUUGGUUUAAGAUAUUUUUUCAAUUUGCAUUUUGUUUGUGUUCGAACUGUUGUUUUUGUGUAGACCCAUAGGUAAAUGACUCGUAAAACAAGUUAGACGGGGAAAAAAAUGUUGGUGACUGUUUUUCUAAAUUCUUUGCUUGACCGCAGCAUCUUUGCAGGAUUUUAGUUGAACAUGUACUUUACAAAAUAUAAUAACUUGACAAGUGUCCUUUUGUAUGUGACCUGUACUAUAUGGCUUCAUUUAAUAUUGUGUACAUAUGAUUUACUUUGUUUUAUGUAGUGUUAUAGAUCUAGAUUUUGUACAAAAUGGUCCUCUGUACAGAAUAAAACAUCAAUAGCAAUGACAAGAAGUCAAUGUGGCACAUACAUUCUUUUCCUCUUUCACUUGUAACUUUGCAUUAUUAAAUAUGUCAUAAUUGUAUCUGUUUGAACUCUUCAAGGUUUGUUCCCUAUUCAAAAUGUCUUUGACCAGAUUUCAGUCCAUAGCCUUUGAGCUUUUCUCACAGUUUCAAGUGGUGUACAUCUAUAUUGAAUGAAUAAAGAGAAUAUUUGAUUUUA